rnacentral:rRNA from 1 species
UACGGGGGGGGCAAGCGUUGUUCGGAAUUACUGGGCGUAAAGGGCUCGUAGGCGGCCAACUAAGUCAGACGUGAAAUCCCUCGGCUUAACCGGGGAACUGCCUCUGAUACUGGAUGGCUCGAGUGUGAUUGAAGUGGAUGGAAUACAUCAUGUAGCGGUGAAAUGCUUAGAGAUGAUGUAGAACACCAAUUGCGAAGGCAGUUCACUAAGUCACAACUGACGCUGAGGCACGAAAGCGUGGGGAUCAAACAGG